UUCCAAAGUAUUGAGUUCAGUUCAAGGUAGCGUCCCUGUUCUUUUGGGACAUUGAAAUGGGCUGCAGGAGAUGAUUGGUUCAAAAGCAUUAUUCUAUUCAUUUGCCUUUUUUUUUUUUUUU